GACGAACACUGGCGGCGUGCUUAACACAUGCAAGUCGAGCGGUAAGGCCCCUUCGGGGGUACACGAGCGGCGAACGGGUGAGUAACACGUGAGCAAUCUGCCCAUCACAUCGGGAUAACUCCGGGAAACCGAAGCUAAUACCGAAUACGACCACCUCCGGCAUCGGAUGGUGGUGGAAAGUUCCGGCGGUGAUGGAUGAGCUCGCGGCCUAUCAGCUUGUUGGUGGGGUAACGGCCCACCAAGGCUUCGACGGGUAGCCGGCCUGAGAGGGUGACCGGCCACACUGGGACUGAGACACGGCCCAGACUCCUACGGGAGGCAGCAGUGGGGAAUAUUGGACAAUGGGCGAAAGCCUGAUCCAGCAACGCCGCGUGAGGGAUGACGGCCUUCGGGUUGUAAACCUCUUUCAGCAGGGACGAAGCGCAAGUGACGGUACCUGCAGAAGAAGCACCGGCCAACUACGUG
rnacentral:rRNA from 1 species